CAGCCUUCGUUUAUCAAUUGCUCCUGACACGGUGACCAGUCAUAUUUUAUCAAGCAUCAGAUCGCUCCGUAUCAAUGCACUAGUAUGUCCUAGCUGACUGUUUUUUUGCAUCUACAGAUACCUCAUUUGUUUUUGCAUUUUGUCUCCUGACUGUUCAUCUCAACUAUUAGGCAGAACCACAGUUGUUUUUGCAUUUUGUCUCCUGACUGUUCAUCUCAACUAUUAGGCAG
rnacentral:lncRNA from 1 species